UUUUGCAUAUAUUUUUAUUUAUAUCGCUCGCUGCGCCAGUAUAUGGCAAACAAGUGACUUUUCGUGUAGUGAGUUGAAUCAUUCACUCAAACGAUUCGUUCUGAACACUGAUUCAUUCAGGAACACCACUACUGUGUGUUGCUCGGAGAUAGGCGACGAUUGGUUCUGUCAACUGGUGUGAUUUGGCGGAGCUAAAAUGGACAAAGUUACUGGGCUUAUUGUGUCUAAAAUGUCUGACUCUUUCUCUGACAUCAGUAUCCAACAACAUCCAGUGUGCAGGAGCAGAAAUGAAGUCAGUCUUCACUGAAAUUCCAUGCCGUAAUCGUCCCGUUCCUCGGAAGCCAAAGAAUUCAGACGGCAAAG